CGCGUAGGCGGUUUACACAGUCAGAUGUGAAAGUUCGGGGCUUAACCCCGGAAUUGCAUUUGAAACUGUAAUACUUGAGUACUGGAGAGGUAAGUGGAAUUCCUAGUGUAGCGGUGAAAUGCGUAGAUAUUAGGAGGAACACCAGUGGCGAAGGCGACUUACUGGACAGAUACUGACGCUGAGGCGCGAAAGCGUGGGGAGCAAACAGGAUUAGAUACCCCUGUA
rnacentral:rRNA from 1 species